UUUUCAGCUUCAUCUUUGGUGCUCACGAGUGUUGGAAAAUAACCCCGUGCUCCACCGGCCGUGUGAGGAAGGAAUCUCAGCUGGAGAGGGUGGAGCAGCCUGCUGAUUGUGAAAGUGCCAUUAGACAGCUUGUGGAAGAAGGCUCUUAGGUGUGAAAAUCGCUUUUCCCGUGCGGGCUGAAAAGGCCAACGUGGCAUUUGCAAAGCCCUGGUGAGCGUCAUCGGUGUGAAACUUCCCUCUGUCCCCUUUCCAAAUCCAACUCCCUGCCAAGCCGUCCCCGAGCAGCGUCGCUUUCCUUCCCACUGCAAGCCAGGAGAAACCUGGCUUCUUCCCCUUGCUUGCUCUCACAGCUGGCUGCUUGUUCCAACACGGAUCCUUACUGAACCCCUUGGUGCCUUUUCCAUGGGUUUGAUCCGCAUGAUCCAGGAGGCUUUGCCGGGUCAGCGUUCACCCGAGAGGAGGAAUAAAAGCCGGUGUCUGCCAAGUCAGGAUGUUUGACUGAAAUAGAAAGUGGAGGGGAAUGCAUCAGAAGGGUGAGGGUGGACAUCCCCAUCCCCUUCCCUUCUGCCCAAGUCUGGUCAGGCUGCCCUUGCACCAGGCUGAUAAAUGUCUUCUCGGGUGUAGGGUUGUCCCUGGGAUUCCUCAGAGGAACUGAAGGACCAUCAUUCACAGCUGCUGUGCUGGGAAUCUCCAUAUAUACAAGCACCUGUCAGGCAUUUAUGCCUUAUGCACUUUUACGGCAGCCUUUACGAUAGGUAGAGAAAAACUCCAUCUGCCUCUAGUGACCUUUUAAUCACCAAGGGAUGCCUUAGCUAAAAGCCCUCCAACCCGCUGCUUGGAGCCACUCGGCUUGAUGGGAGCUGCGGGACUCGCUCUGUCUCUCGUGGAAGGAGAACAGCUCUGCAUCUUCUAUGCCAGCAAAGAAAUCAGUUCUGGAAUACAACAAGUGUGGCAAUGCCUUUCCUGAGUCAGGAAAAUCAUGGCAUGGAGUUAUUUUUCACCUGAAGGCCCUCAGAUUCCUGGAGGAGGCUGGAGGCUCAGGCUGUCUGCAGCACAGAGGAAUGCAUCCCUCCAGCAGGAAGGCUCCCAACUUUAUAGAACUCUCAGCCCUGGGAGCUGGAUUUUCCCUGUGCCUCCUGGAUUCUUGACUAGAGGCUCCAUGUGCAGGCUUUUCCCAGGAAUCUGACCGCACAGGAGAUCAAUCUCUUCUUUCCCUGUGGAAAAGGGACAGCCCAGAGAAAAUUCCCAGGAGGAACAACAGGGAAGGCAGCCCAGCGAGCGUUUUGUCCAUCAGUGGUUUGGGUCUGCAGGCCCGGGAGACAAACCAUGUCCCAGCACACACAGACUUGCUGACAAAGCGAUGGGCAUUAGAGGGAAUAACAACAACAACAACAACAACAAUCAACAAAAACAUUUAAAAAAUCACUUUUCUCAGGGAACACUGGGCUGCAGAGCCUGUUUAUCCUGUCUGCCUGUUUAUUUGCUUUCUGCUGACUUACUGCAAUGCAUCCAGUGUGGGCCUUCAGGAACCGCAGGGAUUUCGGUGGCUCUUCAGUGGCCCAGCUCCUCCUCCCCCUUCAAAGCAGCCCAGCGCCGUUUGUGGGGCUGUUGCACAACCAGAGCAGCGCGGUAACAACACCCCGAGCGUGGAAAGCACAGAGCAAAACAAAGCGCUGAUGAAACUCUUGCAGUCUUUCCAGAUGCCUGUCCACAUCAAUGUCCCCCUGGGAAGCACGCAGAGUGAAAUAAAGCUCAGUGGGAGCCAGCCAGGGAACGGGCUGAGCUUCUCCUCUCCUUUCCCAGCCCAGUGCAAGAGUCUCAGGACACAAGGUUGCUCGGCAGGAUGUGCUGCCGGCUGCCAAAAAGAAGGAGGGAGCCUGGGUUUAUUUUUAUGUAGCUUCGGGAAGGAAAGGCAAGACAAGCUUCGCUUUGUGCUCCGAACUCAGAAGUUUGGAUGCGCAAAGUUUCAGCUCUUCUUCCCGACCGCCUGCCACAAGCAAUUCUGAGUCUUCCUGGGGGCUGCCCCGUGACUGUCAUUCCCACACCCUAAAAGGAGACAGGAUGAUUUAAACUCCUCAUCUAGAGGGAAAAUAAAAAUAAUAAUAAAAAAGGAAUCUGCCUGGGAAGAACAGAGGAGGCUUCUGCCUGCCUGCAGGGAGGAAGGCAUU